AAGGGUAUAGCUUAAUGGUAGAGAACAUGUGUAGUGUGCAUGAUGAGGUCCUGGGUUCAAUCCCCAGUACCUCCU
rnacentral:tRNA from 1 species